rnacentral:lncRNA from 1 species
GCACUCUUUUUUGCUUUUAUAACCAACGUCCUCCUUAAGUUACAACCCAGUUGUAAGUAGCUCACGAAAGUUAUUAAGGUUUGUUGGAUCAACCGGCCUAGGCCGGUUGCAACCGCCGGGGCUCAAGCCCCUAGCGUAACGGCCUAGGCCUCCAUGAGCUUAAGAGUGUUUAAAGCCCUGGUUAAACGACUACUAGAAUUGAACAUGUUUUUCUUCGUGAGUAGCUUUUAAAGCCUUUGGUUUUCUUGUAGCAUUGGGCUUCGCCCUCGUCGUUAACGCGUGUGUAUUACUAACAGCCCGUCCCCUUCGGGGAAGCGCUGUUAGUAGAUCAAGGGGCAAAGCCCCUUUCCCCGAAGGGGUUCCCCGAAGGGGUUCCCCGAAGGGGUUCCCCGAAGGGGUUCCCCGAAGGGGUUCCCCGAAGGGGUUCCCCGAAGGGGUUCCCCGAAGGGGUUCCCCGAAGGGGUUCCCCGAAGGGGUUCCCCGAAGGGGUUCCCCGAAGGGGUUCCCCGAAGGGGUUCCCCGAAGGGGUUCCCCGAAGGGGUUCCCCGAAGGGGUUCCCGAAAAGGUUCCCCGAAAAGGUUCCCCGAAGGGGUUCCCCGAAGGGGUUCCCCGAAGGGGUUCCCGAAAAGG